UUUUUCGGUCCCUGAUACAUUUUUGCUUGUUACAUGUUUUUCUCCUGAUAUUCUCAAUUUGAUAUUCUAUUAAUUGAUGUAUGUUCUUGCUGGUUUGUAUCUGGUGAUUCUGGUCACUGUUAAUUAUCCUAAAUAUCCAUUCUGCUGCAACCAUCUUGGAGAAGAACAAUUUGAUCAAGCAUGACACAAAAAGUGGAUAUUUCCAGGUCACAGACUUGGGUCACAUUGCUAGCCAUUACUACAUAACUCAUGGGACAAUAUCGACAUAUAAUGAGCAUUUGAAGCCAACUAUGGGGGAUAUUGAACUUUAUCAAUUGUUCUCCUUCAGUGAAGAGUUCAAGUAUGUCACUGUGCGGCCGGAUGAAAAUAUGGAACUUGUAAAACUAUCGGAAUGUGCUCCCAUUCCGGUCAAGGAGAGCCUGAAAGAUCCCAGUUGCAAGAUUAAUGUUUUGCUGCAAGCAUAUAUUGCACAGCUGAAAUUUGAAGGGUUUUCAUUGACACAAGAUAUGGUUUUGAUUACAGAGUGCUGGGCGUCUUGUACGACCUCUUUUCGAGAUCGUUUUGAAACGAGGAUGGGCUCAACUUGCAGACAAGGCUUUGAACUUGUGUAAAAUGGUUAGCAAGAGGAUGUGGAGUGUCCAAAUACUUCUUCACCAAUUCCAUGGAAUAACAAAAGAUAUCUUGGUGAAGUUGGAGAAGAAUAAUUUGGCCUGGUAAAAGUAUUAUGACCUCUCUUCAGAGGAGCUGGGGGAGCUUAUAAAGAUGCCAAAGAUGGGAAAAACACUUCAUAAGUUCAUCCACAAGUUCCCCAAAUUAAACCUUGCAGCACAUGUGCAGCCAAUUACUCGAACUGUACUGAGGGUUGAGCUUACUAUAACGCCUGACUUUCAAUGGUAGGACAAAUUUCAUGGCUUCGUGGAGCCAUUUUGGGUACUUAUGGAGAAUAAUGAUGCCAUCAUGAAUAUUUUUUGCUGAAGAAGCAGUAUAUUGAUGAGGAUCAUACUUUGAACUUCACUGUUCAAAUUUACUAACCCCUUCCGCCUCACUACUUCAUUCGUAUCGUAUCUGAUAGGUGGCUUGGGUCAGAGACUGUUUUACCUGUUUCUUUCAGGUACCUCAUUGUACCUGAAAAGUAUCCUCCACCGACAGAGUUAUUGGACCUGCAACCACUUCCUGUGACCACAUUAAGGAAUCCGCUAUAUGAAGCUCUGUAUCAAGAUUUCAAGCAGUUUAAUACUGUCCAGACUCAGGUCUUCACUGUUUUGUAUAAUUCUGAUGGCAAUGUCUUAGUUGCUGCACCAACAGGGAGUGGGAAGACCAUAUGUGCAGAGUUUGAUGUAUUGAGGGAUCAUCAGAAGGCCUCUGAAAGUGGCAUUGUGUAUAUUGCCCCUGUUGAAGGUCUUGCCAAGGAAUGGCACACUGACUGGCAAAAGAAGUUUGGAAUGGGACCAAAUUGUCUUAAUCUGCAUGUUGUUGAAUUAACAGGGGAAAGAGCCACAGAUUUAAAGCUACCUGAAAAAGGUCAGAUUAUCAUCAGACUCCAGAGAAAUGGGAUGCUUUAUCUCGCGGAUGGAAACAGAGGAAGCAUGUACAACAACGACACUUGAUUGGUGGUCGGGGUGGUUCCACAUUGGAGGUAAUAGUCUCUUGGAUGAGAUGCAUGUCAAGUGAACUUUAGAACAAGAUUCGUAUUGUAGCUCAAGUUCUCUUGCAAAUGCCAAGGAUGUUGGAGGAUGGAUAGGGGCUACCUCUCAUGGCCUUUUCAAUUAUCCUCCUGGUGUGAGCCCAGUGCCAGAAAUACACAUUCCGGGGUUGAUAUAGCUAAUCAUGAAGCAAGGAUGCAAGCACAAAACCAACGAACAGUGCAAUUGUUCAACAUGCCAAGAAUGGAAAACCAGCUCUUGUGUAUGUUCCUACUAGGAAACAUGUCCAACAAACAGCUCAGGAUCUAAUGGAUUACUCAAAUGCAGAGAGGUCAAAUGCAAAUGGGAACCCCCUCCUUUCUGUUGCGGUCUCUAAAAGAGAUAGAGCCUUUCAUUGAGAAAAUUAGCAAUGAAAAGUUGCAAGACGCCUUGCGGCAUGGAGUGGGCUUCUUGCAUGAGGGACUAACCAGUGACGAUCAAGACAUUGUGUCAGCACUUUUUGAAGCUGAGUAUAUUCAAUUAUGUGUCAUGAGCAGUUGUCAACGCAUUUGGUGGUUGUGAUGGGAACUCAAUAUUAUGAUGGCCGGGAAAAUCUUCACACUGAUUACCCAAUUGCUGAUCUCUUGCAGAUGAUUGGUCAUGCCUGUCGCCCUAAGAAAGAUAAUUCUGGGAAAUGUGUCAUCCUCUGCCAUGCUCCUCGUAAAGAAUACUACAAGAAGUUCUUAUAUGAAGCAUUGCCUGUUGAAAGUCAUUUGCACCAUUAUUUACAUGACAAUCUAAAUGCAGAAGUUGUAGCCCAAGUAAUCGGGAACCAUGAAGGGGCUCUCAAUUACCUUGCAUGGACAUUUUUCUACAGGAGGCUCACACAGAAUCCCAACUAUUAUCUUCAGGGAGUUACGCACAUAAUUCUGAGUACCUUUCAGAGCUUGUUGAAAAUACACUGAAUGACCUGGAAACAAGCAAAUGUGUUGCUGUGGAGGAUGGGGAUGUUUCUGCCUUGAAUCUUGGUAUAAUAUUUUCAUAUUAUUGUAUCAGUUAUUCUCCAAUUGAGCGUUUCAAUUCUUCCUUAACUUCCAAAACGAAGAUGAAGGGUCUUCUUGAGAUUCUAGCUCAUGCUUCAGGGUAUUCGCAACUUUCCAUACGACCUGGAGAGGAAGAGGUGAUUCGAAGGUUGAUUAACCACCAUAGAUUUUCCUUUGAGAAUCCCAACUUCACAGAUCCUCACGUCAAAGCAAAUGCUCUUCUUCAGGCCCAUUUUGCAAGGCAUCAUGUGGCUGGGGACCUAUCAUUGGACCAGCUUGAGGUUCUCCUUUCUGCAAGUAGGUUGCUUCACGCAAUAUUUGAUGUCCUUGCCAGCAAUGGAUGGCUAAACCUUUCUCUCAUAGCAAUGGAAGUCAGCCAGAUGGUGACUCGGGGGAUGUGGGAUCAUGACUUGAUGCUACUACAGCUUCCUCACUUCACGAUGGAGCUGGCAAAAAGAUGCCAAAAGUUUCCUGGAAAGAAUAUAGAGAGGGUAUCUGAUAUGGUUGACAUGGAGUAUGAUCAAAGGCGGGAACUAUUUCAGGAACUCAGGAAGUACUUCAUAUGUCAGAUAUACAGUUGGAGGAUAUUGAACAAUUUUGCAAACGAUUUCCCAACAUUGGAAUGACAUUUAAGGUGCUGGGGAGUGAGAAUGUAAGAGCUGGGGAGGAAGUCACUUUGCAAGUUGAUAUGACUGUGAACAGGUUGGCCCUCUUCAUGCCCCGAGGUAUCCCAGGACCAAAGAAGAGGGGUGGUGGCUAGUAGUUGGGGACACCAAGACUAACUCACUGCUUGCCAUUAAGAGAGUUCCCCUACUAAAGAAGGCGAAGGUCCAAUUUAGAUUUUUGGCUCCUGCAGAAGCUGGAAAUAAGACACACUGUAUUUCAUGUGUGAUUCAUCGGUCGGGGUUAGGGCUAGAUCGGUCGUCGAGAGGGCUCGGAGGGCUCCAUCGGUGGGCGCCGAUCAUAACCGUUCUCAGGAUGGCCGCGGCCGUUCACUGGGUCGCGAUGGUCGUGGUUCUCAGAGCCAAGAUGGACGUCGUUAUCAAAGCCAAGACAAAUCUCUUGAGGGUACAAAAUCUCAAUCUCAGUUACUUUUGAUUAUUACGGUAGAAUUCGUUGCUGAAUUGUUAUCAAUUUCACUUACCUUCGGAUUAUUAGUGUAGAAUUUGUUGCUGAAUUGUUAUCAA